rnacentral:rRNA from 1 species
GGAAAGGCGAAAAGAACCCCGGCGAGGGGAGUGAAAAAGAACCUGAAACCGUGUACGUACAAGCAGUGGGAGCACAGAGCAAUCUGUGUGACUGCGUACCUUUUGUAUAAUGGGUCAGCGACUUAUAUUCUGUAGCAAGGUUAACCGAAUAGGGGAGCCGAAGGGAAACCGAGUCUUAACUGGGCGUUAAGUUGCAGGGUAUAGACCCGAAACCCGGUGAUCUAGCCAUGGGCAGGUUGAAGGUUGGGUAACACUAACUGGAGGACCGAACCGACUAAUGUUGAAAAAUUAGCGGAUGACUUGUGGCUGGGGGUGAAAGGCCAAUCAAACCGGGAGAUAGCUGGUUCUCCCCGAAAGCUAUUUAGGUAGCGCCUCGUGAAUUCAUCUCCGGGGGUAGAGCACUGUUUCGGCAAGGGGGUCAUCCCGACUUACCAACCCGAUGCAAACUGCGAAUACCGGAGAAUGUUAUCACGGGAGACACACGGCGGGUGCUAACGUCCGUCGUGAAGAGGGAAACAACCCAGACCGCCAGCUAAGGUCCCAAAGUCAUGGUUAAGUGGGAAACGAUGUGGGAAGGCCCAGACAGCCAGGAUGUUGGCUUAGAAGCAGCCAUCAUUUAAAGAAAGCGUAAUAGCUCACUGGUCGAGUCGGCCUGCGCGGAAGAUGUAACGGGGCUAAACCAUGCACCGAAGCUGCGGCAGCGACGCUGAUGCGUUGUUGGGUA